CCCCUCUCAGGCUCACACCUGGAGAGUUUCUGGUACUCUACCAGUCUCGACUACAGGAGGGAAAGUCAACCAGAGCCAUAUCCAUUCCAUUCCUAGCUUGGACAGCGGCUAGCAAGUGGAAGGCAAUCUGCCACAUGU